rnacentral:rRNA from 1 species
UAAUUCGACGCAACGCGCAGAACCUUACCAGCCCUUGACAUGUCGUGGACCGGUCGCAGAGAUGUGACCUUCUCUUCGGAGCCGCGAACACAGGUGCUGCAUGGCUGUCGUCAGCUCGUGUCGUGAGAUGUUGGGUUAAGUCCCGCAACGAGCGCAACCCCCGUCCUUAGUUGCUACCAUUUAGUUGAGCACUCUAAGGAGACUGCCGGUGAUAAGCCGCGAGGAAGGUGGGGAUGACGUCAAGUCCUCAUGGCCCUUACGGGCUGGGCUACACACGUGCUACAAUGGAUGGUACAGAGGGCAGCAAGCUGGCAACAGCAAGCAAAUCUCAAAAAGCCAUUCACAGUUCGGAUAGAGGUCUGCAACUCGACCUCUUGAAGUUGGAUUCGCUAGUAAUCGCGUAUCAGCAAUGACGCGGUGAAUACGUUCCCGGGCCUUGUACACACCGCC